AGCCGCCGGUGUGUGCUCCGGUUAUGCGCUUCUAAUCCGAUGGCCGCAGGUUCGAAUCCUGCCGGGUGCGCCA
rnacentral:tRNA from 1 species